AUGGGCAACUGCCUGAACAAGGCGUCUACGCAGCAGCGGCGGCGCGGCCACGGCGAGAGGGUGGCGCCGGAGGUGAGGGAGGAGGAGGAGGAGCUCAGGAGCAUCGGCCAGGUGCUGCUGCAGGAGGAAGAGGAGGAGGAGGAGGUACCGGCGUCCGCGUCGCAGGCGGCCGGGAUGAAGGUGAAGGUGGUCCUGACGAGGGCGGAGCUGGAGUGGCUCAUGGCGCAGCUCAAGAGCGGCGAGCAGCGCCUCGAGGACGUCCUCCGCCAGAUGGGCAACGCCCGCGCCGACGACGACAAGCCGCCGCGCGCCGACGCCUGGCGCCCGCGCCUCGAGUGCAUCCUCGAGUGCCCCGAGCCUGCCGACGCCACCUAG
rnacentral:rRNA from 1 species